rnacentral:rRNA from 1 species
UACGUAGGUGGCAAGCGUUGUCCGGAUUUACUGGGCGUAAAGAGCGCGCAGGCGGUCGUGCAAGUCGCGUGUGAAAGCCCCCGGCUCAACUGGGGAGGGUCACGCGAUACUGCUCGACUUGAAGGCAGGAGAGGGAAGUGGAAUUCCCGGUGUAGUGGUGAAAUGCGUAGAGAUCGGCAGGAACACCCAGGGGGAAACCAGUCGACUGGGCAGCACCUGACGCUAAUGUGCGAGAGCGUGGGGAGCGAACCGG